UACGUAGGGGGCAAGCGUUGUCCGGAUUUAUUGGGCGUAAAGCGCGUGUAGGCGGCCAGAUAGGUCUGCUGUGAAAACUCGAGGCUCAACCUCGAGCUGUCGGCGGAAACCAUCUGGCUAGAGUCCGGAAGAGGAGAGUGGAAUUCCUGGUGUAGCGGUGAAAUGCGCAGAUAUCAGGAAGAACACCUAUGGCGAAGGGCAGCUCCUCGUGGGACGGUACUGACGCUGAGAGCGAAAGCGUGGGGAGCGAACAGG
rnacentral:rRNA from 1 species